CUAUAAUGUGGGAGACCCGGGUUUGAUCCCUGGUUGGGGAAGAUCAUCUGGAGAAGGAAAUGGCAACCCACUCCUGUACUUUUGCCUGGAAAAUCUCAUGGGAGGAGCCUGGUAGGCUACAGUCCAUGGAGUCCCAAAGAGUCAGACACGACUGAAUGACUUUACUUCACUUACUUCUAGGAAGAAUCCACAUGCCAAAGAGCAACUGAAUCUGUGAGCCACAAUACUAAGCCCAUGAGCGGCAACUACUGAAGGCUUCAUGCUACAACAGGAGAAGCCACUGAAAUGAAAUAAGAAGCCCUUGCACGCACAACAAUAACACAAUAUGCUUUAUGCUAAAUAGAACACAUGAUGAAUAUGAAAAAUGUGCUAACCACAUAUGAAGUCCCCUACAGACAACCAGAAUUUCAGCAGGCAGCAGCGACCACCCAGCUGGAAGCUGGAAGAUUGACACGUGGGAACUUCAAGAUAUCCAAGAGUUAUCCGAGAAGAUUACCUUUUUGCCAAGAACUGACCGAAAUUCCUCAGUGAGAGGUGAGAGCAAAUGGUGGAAGAGAAGACAACUACAGCAAUGAAGGAUAGGCCGAAACCAUCUAAAACCGAAUGCCUUCAUGGGCAAGCUGUCCAAUGUCUCAGAUCCCUUCCCUCCCCUGUGCUGACUCCACAGUACUCCUCAUUUCUCAUCAUCCCAGAUCCAGGCAGGUCCACCUCAGGUAGGUCUCCUGCUUGGACUUAUAGUAAG
rnacentral:lncRNA from 1 species